UACGUAGGGUGCAAGCGUUGUCCGGAAUUAUUGGGCGUAAAGAGCUCGUAGGCGGUUUGUCGCGUCUGCUGUGAAAACUCGGGGCUUAACUCCGGGCUUGCAGUGGGUACGGGCAGACUAGAGUGCGGUAGGGGAGACUGGAAUUCCUGGUGUAGCGGUGAAAUGCGCAGAUAUCAGGAGGAACACCGGUGGCGAAAGCGGGUCUCUGGGCCGUAACUGACGCUGAGGAGCGAAAGCGUGGGGAGCGAACAGG
rnacentral:rRNA from 1 species